GCGCGCCGCUUUGGGAGCGAGGCCGUGGCGCGGAGGACUCGCCUGGAGCUGUGCAGUUGGAGCGAGUCAGGUCCCACCCGCCAUGUCGGAGGGCGCGGAGAGGUCCGCGGGGGCCCACAGCUCCUCUGAGUCCUCCGCCCAGGGUUUCGCUGCUGCCGAGCCGCGGAUCAUCAAAAUCACGGUGAAGACUCCCAAGGAGAAGGAAGAGUUCGCUGUGCCCGAGACCAGCAGCGUCCAGCAGAGAAACAGUGGCACCUACUGAAUCAUUGACGCUAUUUCCUGCAGCACUUCAGUUUUUUGGAGGCCUUCCAUGUGAGUAUUUACCAGGACUUAAUUUGUUUAGAUUAGGAGGCUACAAAUCGUAGGAAAGGUGUGGUCAAAGCAUAAGGCAGAUAUCUAUAAAGCCAGUCUCUCCUACUUGUGAAGGAUGUAGAUAUUGCUAUGCUAAAAUACUUGAAAAGGUGAAAUUCCCUGAAGGAGAUUAAGAACUUACUUCAUUUUCUAUAAAACUUCUCUGAAAUUCAGUGUAUGCAACUUGACAUCAUGUUAUUUUUUUUGUACAGUAGGUAACUGCAAACCUCACAAAAAACCACAACGGUUAUAUAUGUAAGAGUGCAACUGAUGUAUAGAAAUGGAGCUUUAAAUCGUUACUUGCUGAUGAGUCAGAAGACACAUGUUGUUUUCAGAGGGGAAAUGCAAAAUGUGAGUUAAAAAGCUCUGAUCUUCUAGCCAGGGUGCUGGCUCUAUACAUUUUACAGACUCUUGCGCCACCUAGUUGUAAAAUUCUUUGUAGUUGCGUUUUGUUUUCUAUAAAACACGCUGGUUCUAAUUUAAGGAUCACAUUCGUCCUGAAAAGCAGUUUGAUUGCAAUAAUAUUGGGGACUUCAGGAAUUAUAAACAAACUCAUUUAAGAUGUAAAUUUGCGAUAUAUCUAACUUUAACAACAUGAUUUCAAAUGUGAGUCCCAAUGGGAAUAUCAGGUUUUUCUAGUAGACGGUUGUCUUAAAAACUGAAAUAGUUAUACAUGCUAACAAACCCAUAAAUUUUUACUGAAAACAAUCAUAAAAAUUUAAGUGAUUAAUAGAACAUAUUGCUUUAAAAUGUCUUAAUCUUCUAUAGAUAUCUUAAACUUUAAAUAUUGUCUUGGUAUCCCUUUGAGCUGAUAUUAACAGAUUAGAUUUGCAGUUGAAUCUUCCUGCGAAGUAAGACUGCUGCUGCCCCUGUGGGUCCGCCAUUUGCUUUGAUUCCUGGGCAAAGUUACAGCUGGCACAAAAAAAAAAAAAAAGCAAGACUGUAGUGUGACUAGUAUUGGCUGUUUUUCUUAAACUGUCAAAAUAAGUUGUUGUUAAUAAUAAGCAUUAUAUAGCAUAAUAACAAUAGACGUGAUACUUCUAGAGCCAGCCCUGAAAAUAGGUUAGCCUCAAAUAAACAAAUUGAGCAUCUGUUCAAAUGCAUAUGGGAUCAGCAAGUGGGUUGUUCUGUUGGUAUAGGCAAGCAGGCAAUGUCUGCCCUAUUUGCAGGGGGAGGCAGCCUAAACUCGUACAACUGAAUAGCUUUUAUUUUGCUGUGUGUUCCUGUAGCUAAUAUUAUGACUUAGUGAGACUUGGGUUUGUUUACAGUCACUUCAGAAUAGAGCCAAAACAAAACCCUAAGACUUUUAGAUAAAUAUUUUGGGUUAUUAGGGCUAAAUUUAGGGCUACGCAAAGUGUAUUUUAUGUUGCUCCGUUGAUGUAAGUCAGGUUUGCAACUGUUCAAAGUUGAGGAAGAUUUUCCUAUGUUAGAAGACUUCAGUAACAUAGGGUUUGUUAUUGCUGAUCCUAUGUUGUGCCUCUAAGAACAGGCAGUAGUAUGUAGGUUAAAAUGAAAAAUAACCCUCAAGUACCAAACUGCUCUGGGAGGUCAGUUGAUUGUAAGUGUCACCCAUCUGUCUUUAUUUUCCGCGGAACUUAUUUGAUUAUGCUGAGCACAGCUUGGCUCAGUAUUAGGACAAGGACCAAAUAUUUGCUUUGUUGAUUUGGUAUGAUACUGAACUUGCAGGCCCAUACACUGCUCUGCAAAGACUUCUAUUCAUGGUAGGUAAAGAUGAAUACCUAUAAGCCUGCUGAUUUGAAAUCCCAAUACGCAGGAGACUUUAGCUCAGUUAGCUCUGUCUUUCAUCUUUUUUCCUUAGUUUUAUUUUGUGGGUUCUGUGGGCUUGACUUUAACAGUGUGUUUUGGUAAAACUCAUAUACACAGAGAGAGUGAGCAGUCAUGUUACAGACUACUCGUGCAUUACUGUCUCUUCUUAGUGAAUGACUUGAAUUAUUUGAGUGAUGAGGUGUUGGAACUGGUUCCAUUAAAAGCAAUUUUACUUUCUUCAUUUAGUCUGUUUACCCUGUAGGCAUUCUUGGAAUGCCAACAUAGCAACAUUGGCAAAGUUCAAGAUGUUAUUGUAAUUGAUUCAGAGUUACUAUCCACCAGCACAUAUGCAGACUUUAAGAUAUCAAAUUAUGCACUUUGUGAACACUGUAACUCUUAGAGAAUAACAUAGGUUGCUUUAUAUUUUUAAUUAUUAGGCUAACAGAGUUUGGAUACAACAAAUGUGCGCUAUUAAUUUUAAAAGCCUGCAGUUCUUGCAGAGAAUUAUUGUCAGUCCUAUGAUUAUCUGAAAAUUUCAGGGUAAUGUCUGUUUGGAAAAGUUAGUGAAAUCGAGUUUAGUUCAUAUAACCAUAGAAAACAGUUUAAAUUAUUUUUUUUCUCUUUUUAUUUAACGUCAACCUUUCUUCAGUGAGGAAUAUAGUUUUCAGUAGUAAUAGAUUAUUAUUAUCAGUGUGUAGUAUAUUUUUAAACUAAUUAUAUACCUGAAAAUUGUGCUUUCUGUACUACACUGAAUUAUAAAUAAACUCACCUACUGAACUAUAUGUGUAAAUGUAUACAUUGCGUUGGGACUCUGUUCAUUGACAAGUGGAGAUCUGGUUAGAAUUGUAUUCUCUGUUUAAAAUUUGAAUAAAUAUUAUUGUUGAAACUUUAAAUCCAUAAAUCCAGUGUUUCAGAUUUGUGCCUGGUUUUCACAAUCACAAAUUGGCCAUGUUUGGCAUAUAAAGAUCACGUGUACAUGUUAAGGGGAGCAUUGGGUGAUUUGAUAGUGGAACAUCUUUCCUAACUUCUGUAUGCUUUUAAUAUUUCUUAUAAUGCUUUAUUUUAUAAGGGCAGCUUAAUUUCAGUUCUCUUAACAUAACCAGUUCUGUCUUCCCUGUAGCCUGGGGAUUAUUGAACAGUACGACCAAAAGAGGUUGGAACUAAUAUAGUCCAAUCUGUUCUUCUUUUUCAGUAUUACAAUCUAGCUUUCUGUCGGCACUAAAGGAACUUGAGUGCGUGAAUUGUUUAGCACCAAAGUUAAAGCAUUGCUUUUUUCACCAUCUUAUGUCUCAGUGCACUGAAGCACAUCAUUGAUACAUCUGUGUGACUGUUUAUGGAGUCAGCCUUGUGAUAUAGUCUGAUUAUUCACGUUUCUUUGAAAUAAAGAAACCCUGUUUGAUUCAGCACUUAAGUAAUUUUAUUUUUCUCAGACUUUGGAGAAAAGUGAUUUAGAACAAUGGUAAUUUGCUGUUUGAUAGCAUAGAACCCUUUAGAAGAAAGUAUAUUGACUUCCCUGACAGUUGACUUAACUGAUAUUUUUCAAGAUGCAUCUGCCUAACCAAGGUAACUGGCAAAUGUUUUCUGACUGGCGGGUAUAAUAAAA